rnacentral:rRNA from 1 species
GACGAACGCUGGCGGCGUGCUUAACACAUGCAAGUCGAACGGAAAGGCCCUGCUUUUGUGGGGUGCUCGAGUGGCGAACGGGUGAGUAACACGUGAGUAACCUGCCCUUGACUUUGGGAUAACUUCAGGAAACUGGGGCUAAUACCGGAUAGGAGCUCCUGCUGCAUGGUGGGGGUUGGAAAGUUUCGGCGGUUGGGGAUGGACUCGCGGCUUAUCAGCUUGUUGGUGGGGUAGUGGCUUACCAAGGCUUUGACGGGUAGCCGGCCUGAGAGGGUGACCGGCCACAUUGGGACUGAGAUACGGCCCAGACUCCUACGGGAGGCAGCAGUGGGAAAUAUUGCACAGUGGGCGAAAGCCUGAUGCAGCGGCGCAGCGUGCGGGAUGACAGCCUUCGGGUUGUAAACCGCUUUCGCCUGUGACGAAGCGUGAGUGACGGUAAUGGGUAAAGAAGCACCGGCUAACUACGUG